rnacentral:rRNA from 1 species
CCUACGGGAGGCAGCAGUGGGGAAUAUUGCACAAUGGGGGAAACCCUGAUGCAGCGACGCCGCGUGAGUGAAGAAGUAAUUCGUUACGUAAAGCUCUAUCAGCAGGGAAGAAAAUGACGGUACCUGAGUAAGAAGCAUUGGCUAACUACGUGUUAGCAGCUGCGGUAAUACGUAGGGGGCAAGCGUUAGCCGGAUUUACUGGGUGUAAAGGGAGCGUAGACGGUUGUGCAAGUCUGGAGUGAAAGGCGGGGGCUCAACCCGCGGACUGCUCUAGAAACUGUACAGCAGGAGUGCAGGAGAGGUGAGUGGAAUUCCAAGUGUAGCGGUGGAAUGCGUAGAUAUUAGGAGGAACACCAGUGGCGAAGGCGGCUUACUGGACUGUAACUGACGUUGAGGCUCGAAAGCAUGGGGAGCAAACAGGAUUAGAUACCCUGGUAGUC